ensembl:lncRNA
UGUACCAGGGUGAGGUACUGCUUUUCGUUCUCUCCUGUAUGUCUGUGUCAGUGUGGCAUGACAAGUGAACCUUGACCAUCGUGUCUGCGGGGGGUUUUAACGCUGGGUGCUCCGGUUUCUUCCCACAGACUCGUGUUUCAGGUUAGUUGGCCACAAUAAAUUGCCGUGUGUGUGUGUGUGUGUGUGUGUGUGUGUGUGUGCGCGCUGUGGACUGGUGUCCCGUCUAGAGUGCGCCUCUCGUAAUGGUGCCCGGCGCUUUUGGGAUGGGCUCCGGACCGCUGCGACCCUUCCCACGAUAAGCGGUAAACGAGAGCGACCGAGGUUAAAGGAAUUAAUUUAAAAUUAAGAAUUUUCAGCGGAAUGCUAGUAAUUACGUAAAGUUUUAAAGAUAACUAAUUUAAUUUCUACCUGGGAUUAAGUUGCUGUGGCGGAAAAGAUACCGUAGAUGAAGGUACAUUCAGGUGAAGGCCAAAAUGUGUAUGAUUUUGUUGUGGCUGUAGAGUUCUACUGGGCGAAAUUAAAAUUUUUAAUUUUAUUGGCGUGGGGGGGGGGGUGACCUGUUCUUCGAGGAGACGAACAGAAAAAACUGCCGUCGAACGUCCUUCUCCCGCCUUCUCAGCGCGCACCUCGGUUUGAAAUGCAUAAUUUUGGAACGCCAAUCUCAGCCAAUGAGGAACGGAGUACCGGAGAAAGACAGCGUUUUCGGCCAAUCACCAUAGACUUUUUAGUCGGUACAUACGAAUCAAGCCUGGUUUUACGGACUAGGGGGAAUCGACAGCACUCGCAGCCAAUGGGCUGACGCAUUAGGACAAGAUAUAAGAUUAUUAUCCAAUUAAAUAAUUUUACCCGCGAAGUGGGCGGGCUUUAGCGACAACGCGUGGUAGGCGCCCUGAAAGCGGUAAAAAAUAAGAGCUCGCGCCGCUUGAAUGAGUAUAGGUGGCUGCAGUAAUACCCCAGAUUUUCUGCGUUUGUGGUAUAUUUUGACAUACAUACAGAAACAGGAAGUCAUGAGCAGGAGAGGUGCGAGCCCUGCCUUACAUUGCACAUCCAUGCAAGUUGCAGUUGCCUGCCUGCUGUUUCCUCUGAUGGGGCUGUCUUCUGAGUUCUGCACCCGUACCAGAAAUAGAGGUAUGCUGCAUCUCACAUUGGCUGGUAGGCACUAAGCACCACCAGAGAUCUUGGUAGUUGUGAAGGUGUUGCAGUUGACCUUAAAAACCUCAGGGUGUUUGUUUCUGUUACCAUUUCUUAUAAGGUUUCUUAUUUUCAUUUUUUUCAAAAUCUGCAGUAUCGUGUUCCAGCUGGUCUGUUGGAUUGACUGAGUGAGACUGCAACUAGUACAGCAUUCUGCAGACAGUAGCUGUUGGUUUAGCUUUAGAAGUGUGAAUUGCUGAGUAUUUUGUUGGGUAGUGGCAAGUUAUUUUUAGUUUUGUAUGAAUGGUGCAUAUGUAGUCUUUCUGCUGUACACUUAAUGUGUAUUGUGCCUUGGAAAAGUAUUCAGACCUCUUGAAAGUUAUCCACAUUACUUGGAUUACAAAUUAUAGUUCUGGAUUCUCCAAGUUUACGUGGAUGAAAAAACUACACCCUUACAAGGACACAGUUGUCUCUCUUAAUUGGACAGAUAUGUUUUGUGCAUGUGAACCAUUAAAUAAUAACCACAUUCUCUAGAUAGUUUUUUUUUUUUUUUUUUUUUUUUUUAAAGGCAUCAUUGGUGAGGCUGUGUACCUGAAGUAAAGGUAUGAGAAUGGAAGACUGAAGAACAUACCACAGAAAUUAGAGGUAAAGUGAUCAUAAAAAUGCAUAAAUUAGGAAAACGGUACACAAAAGUUCUCCCAGUUGGUUUUGUUCGAUCAGUAUUUUCAGUAGAAGUUAUGUAUGUUCAGUAUAUUGGUAGAUGUUGAUACUGCAUUACACAACCCAGACACUGCUUAGGAAAGGUCAUCCACCAAGACAUAGACAUGUGAGGAGAAGACAUGGAGAAACAAUUACUUUGAUGGAGCUACAGAAGUUAGUUCCUGAAAGUGGAGGAAAGGUGCACCAGUCCACAGUAUCAGGAGCAUUACGUAAAACUGGCCUGUGUGGGAGCAUGGCAAGAAAGAUUAUUCAGUCAUCUCAAAGCAUGUAAAUGUCCCAGCUAAGAUGUGUGGAAAAUAUUUUGUUGUCAUG